UUCCGACUCUGGUCUGGUGUACGGGUUGCACUGGGUCUCUCUGGCUAUUUUGUGUGUUCCCAUCUGACAGCCCACAUUUCUCCGCCGCACGCCUUGGCCGCAGGACACAGAGCACUAAGAAGACAGAGAGUGCAAGAAGUGCUCUGCCGCCUCCAGGAUCAAUCAUCAUGGCCUUCACAGUACCUUCCAGGAGGCCGCUUGAUCAUAUUACCCAAAGUGACACCUCCUCCAACACCCAGGAGAAGCCCAGAGAUGGUGCUUGGUGUGUACAGAACGCUCAGUCCACAGCACUGGAUGAGGAUUCCCACUUCUCACUCUUGGCAAGGAAGCCAAGAGCCACUGGACUUCAAGGGACCACAGGAUGCAGGAGGCACCCAGAUUCAACCUAAGAGGCCCUCUCCUUACUCAUCCCCUUCCCCCUGCCAUGUUUGAUACUCCAUGAGCCUACUACAUUCUGGUGUGACUCAAUUAAGACUGAGUUUUCCAAUCAACCCCAGAGGACGAGGGCAUAAGCAGACUGUAAGUUGAUCUACACAUUUAAAAAAAUGUUCAUUUCUUGCACAUCUGGCUAAGAUUCAUACCAGCUGCACAUAUAUGGAGCAGAAUAAUUUAAGUCACAAACUCAGUCCAAGUCUAAAGUAGUAGCCAUUGACCUCAGGGACCUACCACCAGUCAUCCCUCUUACAGUUCUCUCAAUCCUCUCCCAAUUCCAAAGAAUUCA